rnacentral:rRNA from 1 species
UACGGAGGGUGCAAACGUUGCUCGGAAUCAUUGGGCGUAAAGCGCACGUAGGCGGAUUGUUAAGACGGAUGUGAAAUCCCUCGGCUUAACCGAGGAAGUGCAUUCGAAACUAGCAGUCUUGAGUACGGAAGAGGGUCGCGGAAUUCCCGGUGUAGAGGUGAAAUUCGUAGAUAUCGGGAGGAACACCAGUGGCGAAGGCGGCGACCUGGGCCGAUACUAACGCUGAGGUGCGAAAGCGUGGGGAGCAAACAGG